GAUGAACGCUGGCGGCGUGCCUAAUACAUGCAAGUCGAGCGAACAGAUGAGGAGCUUGCUCCUCUGACGUUAGCGGCGGACGGGUGAGUAACACGUGGAUAACCUACCUAUAAGACUGGGAUAACUACGGGAAACCGGAGCUAAUACCGGAUAAUAUAUUGAACCGCAUGGUUCAAUAGUGAAAGACGGUUUUGCUGUCACUUAUAGAUGGAUCCGCGCCGCAUUAGCUAGUUGGUAAGGUAACGGCUUACCAAGGCAACGAUGCGUAGCCGACCUGAGAGGGUGAUCGGCCACACUGGAACUGAGACACGGUCCAGACUCCUACGGGAGGCAGCAGUAGGGAAUCUUCCGCAAUGGGCGAAAGCCUGACGGAGCAACGCCGCGUGAGUGAUGAAGGUCUUCGGAUCGUAAAACUCUGUUAUUAGGGAAGAACAAAUGUGUAAGUAACUAUGCACGUCUUGACGGUACCUAAUCAGAAAGCCACGGCUAACUACGUGCCAGCAGCCGCGGUAAUACGUAGGUGGCAAGCGUUAUCCGGAAUUAUUGGGCGUAAAGCGCGCGUAGGCGGUUUUUUAAGUCUGAUGUGAAAGCCCACGGCUCAACCGUGGAGGGUCAUUGGAAACUGGAAAACUUGAGUGCAGAAGAGGAAAGUGGAAUUCCAUGUGUAGCGGUGAAAUGCGCAGAGAUAUGGAGGAACACCAGUGGCGAAGGCGACUUUCUGGUCUGUAACUGACGCUGAUGUGCGAAAGCGUGGGGAUCAAACAGG
rnacentral:rRNA from 1 species